GACGAUUAUUUAGUGAUUAUUUAAAUCAAACUUUGGCAACACGUUUGACGCUGUACAUUUUGAUCUCCCUUUAAGAACAAAACACAGACGCACAUCAAAAAAAAAGAUGCAAGACGGUAUAAAGCAGCAUUUUUUCACAGUUUUGAAAACAAAUGUUCUUUGAAGUAGAUGCUCUGAUCAUUAUUUAAUAAAUUUGGCCUUAUUUUAAAAGACUUCACAGAAAAUUCCAUUUCUUUUUUUUUUUUUACAAAUGUAUUACUCUGUUUCAAAGGACACAAAUGUAUUAUUUGGUCAAAAAACGGCCUAUAUUGUUAAUAGUUCUACAUUCUAGAAUCAUAAACCCAAAUAUAAUCGAAACGAGGAUGACAUACCGGCUUAAUGACGGUGCAGUUCACACUCAGUCUACUGUUAAAUUUAAAGAGAUCUAUAUAGUGCCAACCACUGGCAGAAAUCUAUUAACCUAAAGGUUAAGGAAGCCCCUACUGCAUUCUUCCUUAUGAAUAUUUAUGCAUGUAUAUGAGCUUUACAGUAUGCAAAUGACUCCAGCCUAAAGACUCUAAAGAUAUAUCCACUGUAUAGUAGCUUUAAAUGACUGACAGCAGCUUUGCGACAUAACGUUGUCUUCGAAAAAGGG